rnacentral:sRNA from 1 species
CUUCUCGAAUCUUUCAGUCUACAAAGCCACAUUGUCUACACUCAAAGCUUCUAGUUCGAUUAAAUACAAACGACCGAGGACAACGAAACUAUUGUAGCUUAAGGUACUUCCCGGCCUCUACGACGACAGUGGUGCCGCUACACCUAUUUCGUGGAAGAAAACCCUAAAAACAAGUAGAAUAAUCAGAACAGCGCCAAUAACUUGGGAUAAUGAAUGUCUCUAUCC